UCUCUCCCCUUCUCUCACACAGCGUGCUGGUUCCUACCAGGAGACCUGCUCACACCUCAGCUGGCAGUUCUACCCCUUGGGUUUGCUGUGUCCCAGUUGUGCUUAGAAGAUCUGUUUGUUCUUACCAAGACUGCCCUGGGCGUUAUUUCCCGAAUGAUUCCAGCACAGCCUCUGAAAAUGGAUUGAAGGAAGGGCUGCAAAUCCUGUCCCUCAGAGAAGUUCGGUGGUAAAAGGCUGAUCCAAGUUGAAAAUGGAAACCAGCAGCUGAAGGCAUUGAAUGUCUUUAACUCAGUGUGUGAUUUGCUAUCUUGCUCAGAACUGGUGUAAGACUUUGCUGGAAAGCUUAGAGAAAUUUGACCUUUCCUAGCAUGUCUUGUGUGUGAUCUCAAUUUCAUGCCUUGUUGAUUAGGUUCACUUUAUUCUCUGGGAGUAGCAGAAAAACAAUGCAAAGAGCUUCCUUGG